rnacentral:rRNA from 1 species
UACGAAGGGGGCUAGCGUUGUUCGGAAUUACUGGGCGUAAAGCGCACGUAGGCGGAUCGAUCAGUCAGGGGUGAAAUCCCAGGGCUCAACCCUGGAACUGCCUUUGAUACUGUCGAUCUGGAGUAUGGAAGAGGUGAGUGGAAUUCCGAGUGUAGAGGUGAAAUUCGUAGAUAUUCGGAGGAACACCAGUGGCGAAGGCGGCUCACUGGUCCAUUACUGACGCUGAGGUGCGAAAGCGUGGGGAUCAAACAGG